AAAUUGAAGAGUUUGAUCAUGGCUCAGAUUGAACGCUGGCGGCAGGCCUAACACAUGCAAGUCGAACGGUAACAGGAAACAGCUUGCUGUUUCGCUGACGAGUGGCGGACGGGUGAGUAAUGUCUGGGAAACUGCCUGAUGGAGGGGGAUAACUACUGGAAACGGUAGCUAAUACCGCAUAACGUCGCAAGACCAAAGAGGGGGACCUUCGGGCCUCUUGCCAUCGGAUGUGCCCAGAUGGGAUUAGCUUGUUGGUGGGGUAACGGCUCACCAAGGCGACGAUCCCUAGCUGGUCUGAGAGGAUGACCAGCCACACUGGAACUGAG
rnacentral:rRNA from 1 species